CCAUAUCUGAAGCGAGGAAAAAUUAAAAGUUGCUUUUUCCAUUAUUCCCAAGCUUUAUGGUGCAGAUGCCAAUCUUUUAGGUUGGUGAGCCUGUAUUUGAACCAUUCGAAUGUUCACAAAGUUGUAAGUCGCAUGACAACUUUGCCCUUUUGUAAAGACGAGGACAUAUUUCGAGUUAGGCAAAAUUGCUAUGCGAUGUCGUAUGAAAAUCCCAUGCUCCUAAAUUUUAUGGAGUAUAUGGAUAUGACAUGGCUAAACCAUAAUGCCAUAUUUCCCCAUGACAUAUGGACAAGAUAUAAAGUCGAAGGUCCCCGCACCAAUAACCAUUUGGAGGGAUUUCAUCAUGCCUUAAAGAGAAAGACGGCACAUGCUCACCCAAAUGUUUAUCUUCUUAUAAAAAUUUUGGUAAACCAUCAACACUAUAACGACCUCAAAAUUAUUCAGAUCAACAAUGGAUCAACAGUUCGGCAUAGAAAUAGAAAAUAUGAAAGAAUUGA